UUGGCAAAAUCAAGCAACAGAAAAAGAUGAUGAAGAUACUGGAGAUAUUUUGUACAAUCCAAAUAUAUUAAGAUGGCAGCAUUUUAAAUACAACUUUUGCAGAGUUAUAAAAUAAAAAAAAUCUAAAAUAAAAGUAGCCAAGUUACUCCUUAUUACAUCAGCUAUCUGCCAGCGAGUCCCGCUAAAACGGUCCAGCCGUUUCUUCCAUUUUAAUAUUACAAACAGACACUCCAAUU
rnacentral:misc_RNA from 1 species